rnacentral:rRNA from 1 species
GACGAACGCUGGCGGCGUGCUUAACACAUGCGAGUCGAACGGAAAGGCCCUGCUUGCAGGGUACUCGAGUGGCGAACGGGUGAGUAACACGUGGGUGAUCUGCCCUGCACUUCGGGAUAAGCCUGGGAAACUGGGUCUAAUACCGGAUAGGAGCCAUUUUUAGUGUGAUGGUUGGAAAGUUUUUUCGGUGUAGGAUGAGCUCGCGGCCUAUCAGCUUGUUGGUGGGGUAAUGGCCUACCAAGGCGGCGACGGGUAGCCGGCCUGAGAGGGUGGACGGCCACAUUGGGACUGAGAUACGGCCCAGACUCCUACGGGAGGCAGCAGUGGGGAAUAUUGCACAAUGGGCGCAAGCCUGAUGCAGCGACGCCGCGUGGGGGAUGACGGCCUUCGGGUUGUAAGCUCCUUUCGCUAGGGACGAAGCUUUUUGUGACGGUACCUAGAUAAGAAGCACCGGCUAACUACGUG